CCUACGGGAGGCAGCAGUGAGGAAUAUUGGUCAAUGGGCGCGAGCCUGAACCAGCCAAGUAGCGUGAAGGAUGACUGCCCUAUGGGUUGUAAACUUCUUUUAUAAAGGAAUAAAACGACGCACGUGUGCGUGUUUGCAUGUACUUUAUGAAUAAGGACCGGCUAAUUCCGUGCCAGCAGCCGCGGUAAUACGGAGGUUCCGAGCGUUAUCCGGAUUUAUUGGGUUUAAAGGGAGCGGAGAUGGGUUGUUAAGUCAGUUGUGAAAGUUUGCGGCUAAACCGUAAAAUUGCAAUUGAUACUGGCGGUCUUGAGUACAGGUGAGGUAGGCGGAAUUCGUGGUGUAGCGGUGAAAUGCUUAGAUAUCACGAAGAACCCCGAUUGCGAAGGCAGCUUACUAAACUGUGACUGACGUUGAUGCUCGAAAGUGUGGGUAUCAAACAGGAUUAGAUACCCCAGUAGUC
rnacentral:rRNA from 1 species